rnacentral:rRNA from 1 species
GAUGAACGCUGGCGGCGUGCCUAAUACAUGCAAGUCGAGCGAACAGAUGAGGAGCUUGCUCCUCUGACGUUAGCGGCGGACGGGUGAGUAACACGUGGAUAACCUACCUAUAAGACUGGGAUAACUUCGGGAAACCGGAGCUAAUUCCGGAUAAUAUAUUGAACCGCAUGGUUCAAUAGUGAAAGACGGUUUUGCUGUCACUUAUAGAUGGAUCCGCGCCGCAUUAGCUAGUUGGUAAGGUAACGGCUUACCAAGGCAACGAUGAGUAGCCGACCUGAGAGCGAGAUCGGCCACACUGGAACUGAGGCAGGGUCCAGACUCCUGCGGGAGGCAGCAGUAGGGAAUCUUCCGCAAGGGGGGAAAGCCUGACGGAGCAACGCCGCGUGAGUGAUGAAGGUCUUCGGAUCGUAAAACUCUGUUAUUAGGGAAGAACAAAUGUGUAAGUAACUAUGCACGUCUUGACGGUACCUAAUCAGAAAGCCACGGCUAACUACGUG